rnacentral:snoRNA from 1 species
UACUUGAAAUGAUGAUAACAUAGUUCAACUGAACUAAAUUGUGUCGAUUUCACCUAUCUUUCGCUCCUAUCUGAUUUACUUG